CCCACCUCCUGGAUUACUGAAGUCUCACAAAAGCACCUCGUGUAUUGGAGACAAGUACAAAGCUGGGACCUUCAGAGGUCCCUGAUUCUGAAGAGCUGCAGUCUAAACUAUGAUCCAACAGACUGUACUUUGAGAGGUCAUAAAUGGCUCUUCAGCUGAGUUAAAAACUUAUUCUUCUAUGUAUUUUUCCUUAUCCUUGUGUGAAUCUGGUGAUCUAGGUAGGAAAGGGAGACACAGUUUUCAACAGUACAGAAUAGUAUCACCUGGAGUGGCCAUUUGAACCACUGGUCAGCUGCAGAUAUCAGAUGCUCAGAAAUGGGAGAAUUUAUGCAUGCCAAGAAGUGCUCCCUUUCAAAACUCAGUCUUCACUGAGGAAAUCAAAGAGCCAAGUGACGCCUUGGACUGCAGAUGUAGAUUUUUACCCUCAGUGCCUGCCAGGUGAAGGCAUCUCCUGACAAAGAGCAAACAAAGCUUUUGAAAAAGCAGUUUCCUUCCUCCCCAACUAAGGAAUAGGAUCUAGAGACAUAUGUGUACCUACAGCCUAAAAAAACCUACCAGUGUUGAUACAAAAUGUUUAAAACCAGAAAGAAUAUGAAUCUGUGAGAAAGCUCAAACACACAGAAAACUAUUUUAAGAAAGUAAACAGUUUUGCAUAACAUGGAUAAGUAUGGACAAAGUUGCUGCAGAGGAGACUGAAAUAACUUCAAGAGCUCACAGAAGUGCACCUAUCAAGCAGCUCAGACCUAUUUUCAAAAAUUUAAAUCCUCAUAUAUUGACAAUAAAAUAUACUGGGGGCAUACUG